rnacentral:rRNA from 1 species
CCUACGGGUGGCAGCAGUGGGGGAUAUUGCACAAUGGGGGAAACCCUGAUGCAGCGAUGCCGCGUGAAUGAAGACUGCCUUCGGGUUGUAAAGUUCUGUUGCAGGGGGAGAAAAAGACGGUACCCUGCAAGAAAGCGACGGCUAACUACGUGCCAGCAGCGGCGGUAAUACGUAGGGAGCAAGCGUUGUCCGGAAUUACUGGGUGUAAAGGGAGCGUAAGCGGGAGGAUAAGUUGAAUGUGAAAUCUAUGGGCUAAACCGAUAGCUGCGUUCAAAACUGUUCUUCUUGAGUGAAGUAGAGGCAGGCGGAAUUCCUAGUGUAGCGGUGACAUGCGUAGAUAUUAGGAGGAACACCAGUGGCGAAGGCAGCCUGCUAAGCUUUUACUGACGCUGAUGCUCGAAAGCGUGGGUAGCAAACAGGAUUAGAUACCCUAGUAGUC